UUGAUCACCGUACCUAUAUAUAAUUUAACCAGUAAUGUGAAUAGACUCAAUACCAUCUUUCAUCUCUUCAGUAUUAUAGCACUAGCUAUACUAAAUAUGGCCAAGUUCUUUCUAUAUUUUUUUGCUAAGAUUUUCUUCUUUCUGGAAUUAUAUAUGAUCGCUCUUUGCAUUUCCUCUCUGGUCUUUCUUGGUCUCUACUUCAUGACCUUCUCAUGCCUGCCUAAAUUAUUUCUUGAGCAUCUGGUCUACUGAUCGAAUUCUUGAAAGGAGAGUUAUGUAUUAAUUAAUGGAUAUGCAGUACUGACUAUCAUGCAUGCAGAAAAGGAUCAGCUGUGCUUGUGUUUGAUUACUAGAUUGUGUUAUUAGAAGAUGCAUAGCUUGUAAUGUGGGAGAGGGUUGAAAAGUUAGGGGGCAGUUAAACAAGCAUGGAAAUGGUCUUCAUUUCAUGACAAGUUCAGCUGUGGAUGAAUCCUGGUGGAGGUGGACUUCAAAAGAAACCGAGUUGCGUUAAUUUGGAGCUGUAUAAGCAAAAGUCAAUCAAAGAAUGGAGGCUGGGGGCAGAUUUGUCUCCCCAUGUGGGUCCGCAACCACAAUCCUGACGUCGAGGCUUUGUCAUUGAUGCAUUCAUAGUCAGCAUCUCGCUUGUUUUUGGAUGAAUACACCAAUCACUGUGGAGCUAGCUAGCUCGUUGGCACUCUAACUGGGCAAUGCACCUCUGCCUGUUAUGUUAUACGUACACAGAUAGUGUAGAAAUUGGUAGUGGACGUUUGCUUUGAUUUAUGCAAUAACCUUGCCCAGUGUGGUUUCACAUCACGAGAAUGAAGAAAUGCCGGAGCAUUUCUCAAUUUUCCUUCUAGACACGAUCAAAAUGGAACCGUCCAAAAAUGGCUGGACAAAUCCAUUUUUGGUCUGCUUUGACAGCAUUAUAACUAGUAUUUUUAUUGCUAACCAAGGUAA